rnacentral:rRNA from 1 species
UGGGGAAUCUUCCGCAAUGGACGAAAGUCUGACGGAGCAACGCCGCGUGAGUGAAGAAGGUUUUCGGAUCGUAAAACUCUGUCUUUUGGGGCGAACGUGAGUAUGGUGAACAAUCAUAGUCAGUGACGGUACCAAAGGAGGAAGCCACGGCUAACUACGUGCCAGCAGCCGCGGUAAUACGUAGGUGGCAAGCGUUGUCCGGAAUUAUUGGGCGUAAAGAGCGCGUAGGCGGGAUAGUCAGUCUGUUGUAAAGUGCGGGGCUCAACCCCGUGAUGGCAAUGGAAACAGCUAUUCUUGAGUGCAGGAGAGGAAAGUGGAAUUCCCAGUGUAGCGGUGAAAUGCGUAGAUAUUGGGAGGAACACCAGUGGCGAAGGCGACUUUCUGGACUGUGUCUGACGCUGAGGCGCGAAAGCCAGGGGAGCGAACGGGAUUAGAUACCCCGGUAGUCCUGGCCGUAAACGAUGGGUACUAGGUGUGGGAGGUAUCGACCCCUUCCGUGCCGGAGUUAACGCAAUAAGUACCCCGCCUGGGGAGUACGGUCGCAAGACUGAAACUCAAAUGAAUUGACGGGGGUCAUAGCUGUUUU